CUACUCCCCACUAAGCUGACCUCAGUUGUAUUGUUUUCUACUUUCUUCUCUUUACUUUCAAAUGUUCUGGGAAUCUGGAUGGAGCCUGCAUGAGUACUGCCAAGCUUCGGGAGGCACAAAGCUGACAGUUCUCUCACUCCAUUGGGAUUGAAAGGUCUCGAUGGUCCAAAAGGUGAAAUUGGAGCAGCUGGAGCAAAGGGAGAAUCUGGACCAACAGGUGCCAUGGGUGCAACAGGUCCUCUAGGACCUAGAGGAAUGCCAGGAGAAAGAGGUCGAAUUGGACCACAGGGUGCCCCUGGUGGACGUGGUCAGCAUGGCAUGCCUGGAAAGCCCGGGCCAAUGAAAUAUUUGCCAAUCUCAGGACAAUUAUCUAAGCAAUAAGAUGUUCCUGCUGUAUGUCUUUGUUUAUAUAACUUCAAAAACCUGAUAUGAAGUCUGCAUUGUAACUCUGGCAGGAAUUUGGUUGUGGAUUUGGAAAUCUUGAUGAGAGAGAAGUGUAGGAAGGGGGGACGUGUAGUUGCACAGACUUUUAUUUUUUCAUAUAUUCUUUAUUAUAUUUUUACUUGUCAUAUUGUUCACCUCAAAUAUCUUGUGAAGCAACAAACUGUUUUGAUAGGGAAGUAACUUGUAUUUCUUUUUUUUUUUUUUUUUCCAAAAUAUUUGAAAUUCUUCUCUGCUACUUUCAGUAGGGAAAACUGUGAUUGCUUAACAACUAUAUUUUCUUUACUAUACCCCGGUAACAUGAAUGUAAGAAGAGGAAGUAAGGCUUUAUUAAAAACUAAAAUAGAAAAAUUAUUAUAGUAAUUAUGAACUGUGCACGUUGCAAUUUGCACAUUAUUAGCUGAAUUGAGAGCUGUAAGUUUGCUUAUGUAUUAUGCAUUAUUAUGUAUUAAUGCUUAUAUAUAUUAAGUAUUGCUUAUUCAUUAAAUACAUUUUAAAACACCACACCAUCAUUUCAAAGAGCACGUGUAUCAC
ensembl:lncRNA